GAUGGGCCUGCGUCUGAUUAGCUAGUUGGUGAGGUAAUGGCCCACCAAGGCAACGAUCGGUAGCCGGACUGAGAGGUUGAACGGCCACAUUGGGACUGAGACACGGCCCAGACUCCUACGGGAGGCAGCAGUGGGGAAUAUUGCACAAUGGGGGAAACCCUGAUGCAGCGACGCCGCGUGGAGGAAGAAGGUCUUCGGAUUGUAAACUCCUGUUGUUGGGGAAGAUAAUGACGGUACCCAACAAGGAAGUGACGGCUAACUACGUGCCAGCAGCCGCGGUAAAACGUAGGUCACAAGCGUUGUCCGGAAUUACUGGGUGUAAAGGGAGCGCAGGCGGGAAGACAAGUUGGAAGUGAAAUCUAUGGGCUCAACCCAUAAACUGCUUUCAAAACUGUUUUUCUUGAGUAGUGCAGAGGUAGGCGGAAUUCCCGGUGUAGCGGUGGAAUGCGUAGAUAUCGGGAGGAACACCAGUGGCGAAGGCGGCCUACUGGGCACCAACUGACGCUGAGGCUCGAAAGUGUGGGUAGCAAACAGGAUUAGAUACCCUGGUAGUCCACACCGUAAACGAUGAUUACUAGGUGUUGGAGGAUUGACCCCUUCAGUGCCGCAGUUAACACAAUAAGUAAUCCACCUGGGGAGUACGACCGCAAGGUUGAAACUCAAAGGAAUUGACGGGGGCCCGCACAAGCAGUGGAGUAUGUGGUUUAAUUCGACGCAACGCGAAGAACCUUACCAAGUCUUGACAUCCCUUGACAGACAUAGAAAUAUGUUUUCUCUUCGGAGCAAGGAGACAGGUGGUGCAUGGUUGUCGUCAGCUCGUGUCGUGAGAUGUUGGGUUAAGUCCCGCAACGAGCGCAACCCUUAUGGUCAGUUACUACGCAAGAGGACUCUGGCCAGACUGCCGUUGACAAAACGGAGGAAGGUGGGGAUGACGUCAAAUCAUCAUGCCCUUUAUGACUUGGGCUACACACGUACUACAAUGGCGUUAAACAAAGAGAAGCAAGACCGCGAGGUGGAGCAAAACUCAGAAACAACGUCCCAGUUCGGACUGCAGGCUGCAACUCGCCUGCACGAAGUCGGAAUUGCUAGUAAUCGUGGAUCAGCAUGCCACGGUGAAUACGUUCCCGGGCCUUGCACACACCGCCCGUCA
rnacentral:rRNA from 1 species